rnacentral:rRNA from 1 species
AACGUAGGGGGCAAGCGUUGUCCGGAUUUAUUGGGCGUAAAGAGCGUGUAGGCGGCCAUACAGGUCCGUUGUGAAAACUGGAGGCUUAACCUCCAGACGUCGAUGGAAACCGUAUGGCUAGAGUCCGGAAGAGGAGAGUGGAAUUCCUGGUGUAGCGGUGAAAUGCGCAGAUAUCAGGAAGAACACCCGUGGCGAAGGCGGCUCUCUGGGACGGUACUGACGCUGAGACGCGAAAGCGUGGGAGCGAACAGG